UCUGUUAAUCCUUCUAGACUUUAAUCAACUUUCCCAUGGCAUAGUCAUUUUAGUGACUUGUGACCAUCUCGCCCCUACAAUCAUACAUUAACCACAUAUAUUAAGCAUUUGAUUACUUAAUAUCUGAAGCAUUAAAACUAAUGAGAAAAAAGUAUCACCAUUUACCAUAGUGUAUGAAAGGAUGUUUUCAAUCUAUAUUUUGAUGUAAAACCUAUUGUACAGUAAGAAAACAACUUCAACAACAUGAUCGUCUGGUGGUGAAUAAAUGGAAGUGCAUUUACCUUUUAUCAAAGCCGUUUUUCUUUCUCUUUUUUCGUCCUAGACUCUUUUUCUUUGAGUCGAAUCUCCAUCAAUUCGGAUCCACCAUACCACUCUUUCUCAAACCUUCUAACCCUAAACCAGUUCGUGUGCUCCGCUAAAGCUAAUGAAACUGUACGAAGAAGAGAGAUAGCUCUGGGAAAUAUGGUUUAUUGAUAUUUGUUUUUUUUUUACAAAUCAAUUUUAGCACUGACUCAGGACACAUUCCAUACGACCACAGGUCCUUCAUGUUCUGUUUUUGAUCAAUUAGGAGUCUA
rnacentral:lncRNA from 1 species